CUUUGUCACACGUCGAGCGUGCGUCACGGAGACUGCGAGGAACGAGAGCCGGUGUCAACGCUGUCAUUCGAGAGGAUAACCUGUAGUUGGCAGGGAUUAACCGUGACAUUGGUGGGUCGAUUGGACGAUCUCGCCUAACGCCGACGCCCCAGUGAGGCCGAGGAGGUUUCAGGUGGAAGAAGGUUGCCGAGAAGCCCCGAGGAAGAGGUCGCUGGGACGUUAAGGGCGUAGAAGGGAGAGCAGAAGGUCAGGAUGCCGGCGCCAACGUCAGCUGCGGGCCCCACCGAGGGUGGGCCUCCGCGUACGGAGUUGCAGGAGUUGCAGCUAAAGGCAGGCCAGGCUACGGAUGAGUCGCUGGAGAGUACGCGCCGUAUGUUGGCACUAUGCGAGGAGAGCAAGGAGGCUGGCAUCCGCACUCUGGUCGCGCUCGACGACCAGGGAGGUGAGUGAAUCGCUAUUAAAAAGAAAGAGAAAAGUCCCUGUUAAGGAAGGAAAAGAUAUACGGGAAGGAAAGAAAAAAAAAAAAGAAAAAAAAAAGAAAAGACGACGACACUCCUAUCCACCCCCAGACGCCGUGACGCCAUUCAUCAUCAGGAUCCAUCAUUUCCGCCCGAAGACGCCGCGAAAUAUCGCGGUCUAGGGGGUGAAAAAGGAAAGAGAACCCGCGUUAAAUCCCACGGUCUUUAAAUCGGUAGCUAAUCGCGCCUAUCGCGGAUUACCCGCGCGUUUAAGGUCGGCUAAAUAUCCGUGACCCAGGUCAGGGUCGGGUUGCACCUGCAGAAUGCAGCUGCACCCUUUAAUCCCAUCCCCGAGGAUGAAACUGGCGAGCAACCCCUGCGAGCCCUUAACAUCGGACAGAGUCUAGAGUUCGAAAAUCCUCGGGAAAAAAAAAAGAAAAAUAGAAAGGAAAAAAAAACAAUGAAACGGAACUUGAGAAUGAAGAAUUACCGACAUUGCGAGAAUUUUUUCGUGAAUUUACGGAGAAUUUAUGAGAAUCGAUAUUUAUUACGGAUGUACUAAGUGUCAUAUUUGCCAGGGAUUACGUAGGAGAACGGGCAUAAAUCAUUCUUUAAGGUCGGAGAAGUUUUAGGUUAGAAUUCGCCAGGCAUUUAUAUUGACUUCGAGGUAUGGAUAUUUAUAUAUUCUCGUAAAUUCUCGGGAGGAAGAUGGCUCGAGAAAGUACCGGCAAUUUUCCGGUGUCUUAUCAUCCUUGGUGUAAUAUACCGCGUUUAGAACUCUGAUAGAACCUUAAUGUCGGACCGAAGGGAGCGUUAACGAGAAACGAAGGGGGAAAAGGAGACUCGACGGGACCGUGUCGCCCUCGCCCCAUAAGGGUGUUUCGAUACCUUAUCGGUGUUUCACCGCCUUAAGGGUGUCUCGACUUCUUAAAGACGUUUCUUCUUAAGAAUGUUCCGACACCUUAAGGGUAUAUUUCAUCGCCUUGAGAAUGUUUCGACACCUUGAGGGUGCUUCGACACCUUAAGAGUGUUUCGACACCUUAAGGGUGUCUCGUCACCUAAAGGGUGUUUCGACACCUUAAGGGUGGCACGGAGGUGUAGUGACCUUUCGUUAUGGCCACCGAAGCCCCUUGCGCUCCGUAGACUGUAGAUAUGCUCGUUGGGCUGCGAUGUUGAGUGUGUGUGUAUACAAGAGUACGUUUUACACGACAUCGGGACAAGACAGAGAAACAGGCUGGGGGGCCCGUGAUAAGGUCUUAUCGGCACCCGACAGAAAUGAUCGAGCAGCACGCCGGCGGCACAGAAUCCUCCUUGAUCUUGAGCCUGCAACGCGCAAAACAUCACCAUUACUUACUGUCUCAUAUCGCUACUAUACCAGGCAACGUUACGGCUACUUUACUACUACGCUACUACUUACUGUCAACUGUCGAACCGUUAAGGCGGCACGAAACUGGCCUCUGAGAACUCAACCGUUAAUGACACCUUUCUUCUGACUGGGGGUACCGAAUCGUUUGACAUUUUACAACGUAAACGUAUAAUUAUAUGAUUGGUUAGUUACACCCAGUUCGGAGAAGAGUUUCAUGAGCGAUUCAUCUCCCAGGCGCGCGCUUUCACGUCGCCUUAAGGCCGUCGCAUGUACCUCUUAAAAAGUAACCAUAAGCAUGGUCACAACGGUCAAACACACGCCCAAAAAUUCGGUACACAUGGGAAUAAGUAUCUACACAAUGAACAGGACAUUGUUUCGCGUACAGUUUGCGUAGCCAUUAAAUUCCAAGGUUAUGGCGUCUUGAAAUUCCGCUAAUUGCAACAUUCGGCAACUAGAUUGGGGAAUAUUUAAUGCCAUGCUUACGGGUAUCCUAAUGGGAAGUACGUGCGAAGGCUUUUACUCUACUGCCAACCCUGUCGCCCGCCUCCGAGCCAUCCGGGAUUCCCCGACCUUGGCCUUGAACCUGGCCCCGCCCCCCGGUGAUCCUACCGCCGCCCCUGCCGACUGCCUCCCAGCCGGCGAGGUUCAGCCGUAUAUUCCCAUAUAUACACUGGAAAAAAGAAAAAGAAAAAAAAAGGAAAAAAUUCAUCGGACCAUAGAAAAUAUUUCUUCCAACACCAAAGAACGAUAUCUUUGAACAGCGCCGAAGAACCAUGCUUUUUAAUUCGAUAAAUAAUUAUUCCGCUUAGACGAGCUGUCGCCUCCGAUUUAUAGAGAUUCCAUUCGAGUGAAAUAAUUAUCCUUCGAAUUAACAUGUCUCAUUGUUACCGUCCGAAGAAAUGUUUCUCUGGUACGAUGGACAGUUUUCCUUCAGUGUACAUGCCUUGUAUGUAUACGAGUAUUAUACCGAGUGCGACACCUGCUCCAAUACAAAUUGUGUAACCCCCGUAGCCUCACCAGAAGCUUCUAGCUGUGUCGCUUUGGGUCUUUCUUUUCCUUUUUUUAAUGGGUCCGUUUACUUGUCUAGCAGUAGUUAUCUGUCCGUAAAACACGAUAACUCACUAUAUCCGCAAACUCGCUCGACCAAGCCCCCCCGCCCCCACCCCUCCCCGAAGUCCGACUUUUUGUUUACCCCAAGAUUUAAUAAAACAUAUGCGUGUAUGAAUAAUAUAUAUUUAUAUAUUAUAUGAAUAUAUUAUCUGCAGUAUAUACACGCAUAUGUCUGUAGUCACCCUCCUCGACCCCCGCGAAGACACUAGAAACCCACUCUUCGAGAUAUAACAUUCUUCUUCCUCUUAUAUAUAUCUCUCUCUAUCUCCCUCUUAUCAUCUCUCAAUUGCGAUACACUUGACUUUACAUCCGUACUCUCGCUCUUUCUCUGUUGUCCCCUCUCUCUAUCUCCCACUCCAGAUCGAGAUAUACAUCUCCCCUCGCAUUGAUUUCCUCAUUUAGGUAUUAUAUAUAUAUAUCAAGAGUAUCCGUUGUAUAUACCUUGCGUAUACCUUGUAUAGAGCCUCCCCCAUUUUAUUUUUUUUUUUUUUUCCUAUAUAUUUCCACCCCCUUGAUUUAUCGUUUAUACAUGAUUUUUUUUUCCUCGCCACCCUUUUGAUUUAUGUCGAGUGAGAUUUUAUUAUUUCUCCCUCACCGUGCGUUUUACGGAUGGACGUUUAUGAGAAAAGAAGGAAAAAAAUAUAUAUAUAUAUAUUUUUUAUGCAAAGUUUCGCCUUCUGGCGCCGUUGGGCAGUUUCUUCCUUUCGCGUCGCAAUUUUACGGGAAAGUCGGGAAAUCGGUCCCUCCAGGAAAACGCAGGGUAGGGCCAUUUUCUGUAUUCCUUUCACAGUUUGACACUCAUCACUGACCGAUCUUUCGUUUCCAUUGUGUGGGGCAUCGUAGAGCGAGGAGGUCGGAGCGAACACUCUGAUGAUGUUAGACCAUCAAGGCGGUAAGCUCCUAGCCGACGAACCCGGAGCACUAGAUCCAGCCUAGGAUGCGAUCCGAGAUCUGCGAUCCAUGAUCUACGAUCGAGCGCCCCUUAUCAGCCCGAUAAGGGGUCGCCGCGAGAUCGCGAAAGUCUCCGCUUAAAUUUCGACUUUGAGCCAUUUCUUUUCCAUUUUUAACACGUUCUGUAUAUCCGACUCCGAAUGAGGGGACUUGAUAUGAUAUGAAAACAUGGGAUAUAUUAAGGGACGUGAUAUGAUAUACGGAAUAUAUUAAUGUAAGACCUCUCGCGGAUUUCUUCCGGAUCUCGCGGCGAUUCCUGAAAAGAUCAGCCGUCUUUUUAAUCGGCGACUGUUUUUUUUUCUUUUUUUUUUACCGAUCAUCCCGCUUUUUAAUUAGUACCUUUCCAGGGGAUGCGCUAGUCGAACGAGGACGAUGACGAUAUAUCGGGACAUGUGAUAUUGGAGGGGAUUCCUUGACACUUUUAUGGGACUUUUAAAUAAUCGCGGACGAUUUCGAGAGGCUCGAUUUUUCUUUUCUUUUCUUUUUUUUUUUAAUUCCGCACACCUCGGUGCCUAGAUGCACCUCGCGAGAAGUGCAUUCAAUGGAAAUUGGGAAAUUUGAAGGAAAUCCGUCAGAAGGGGUUAAUUGAGAUCUCGAGAUUCAUAAACAAAUGGUAAACUAUCAAAGCCAUUUUAGGGAAUAUCGUCGAUAAUCGCGAUAAUUAGCCUUAUCACCGUCUACCUAGUCUGCUCGCGGGUGUCUCCAAUUCUUUUCUAGCCCCCAAAAUUCGCGGAUUCACUUCGCCAUUAACCGUCAACGAUUUAUCGCCUGUUGCGGUGGCACCGAUAUAUCGUCACGGUCGCGUUUAUCGCCGAUAAUCGCGACAAUUAGCCACGUGUAGUUAGUUAACGAAUUACGAUUAAGAGCCAGCCCGGUCGCGUGUUAGCGCCCUCGCUCUCGCAUUCGCAGCUCUCUGGUGUCUCUCUCUCGCUCUCUCUCUCUCUCUUUCUCUCUCUCUCUCUCUCUAAUCUUUUUCAGCCCCCGAGCUUCGAAAAUCCUCUCGGCCGUGAUCCUCGCGAGGACACGCGGUCGAGGGCGGUCUUCCGGACGAUCGUCGUUGUCGCCGUCCUGCCUCAGCUAGACUUCGCGUCUUCGAGAGAGCUCCCGUAUCCCCGAUGCCUCUUAGAGGGGAAAAGAAAAGAGAGC